CCUACGGGAGGCAGCAGUGGGGAAUAUUGGACAAUGGGCGAAAGCCUGAUCCAGCAAUGCCGCGUGAGUGAUGAAGGCCCUAGGGUUGUAAAGCUCUUUUACCCGGGAUGAUAAUGACAGUACCGGGAGAAUAAGCUCCGGCUAACUCCGUGCCAGCAGCCGCGGUAAUACGGAGGGAGCUAGCGUUGUUCGGAAUUACUGGGCGUAAAGCGCGCGUAGGCGGUCCAUCAAGUCAGAGGUGAAAGCCCGGGGCUCAACCCCGGAACUGCCUUUGA
rnacentral:rRNA from 1 species